GUAGUAUUCCCUCCGUCCCAAAAUUCUUGUCUUACAUUUGUUUAGAUACAGAUGUAUCUAACACUAAAAUGUAACUAGAUACAUCCGUAUUUAGAAAAAUUUAAGACAAGAAUUUUGGGGUGGAGGGAGUACAAA
rnacentral:pre_miRNA from 1 species